GAGGAGAGAAUGAGAAGCCACCCGAUAACCAGAAGAUUGGUCUGUUGGAAGCACUACUUAGGAUAGGAGACUGGCACCAUGCCCAGAGUAUUAUGGACCAGAUGCCUUCCUUUUAUGCUACUUCGCAUAAGGCCAUCGCACUGGCACUGUGUCAGCUCGUGCACCUGACUGUGGAGCCUCUCUACAAAAGGGCUGGUGUCCCUAAAGGGGCAAGGGGCUGUAUAAUGGCUACACUGAGGAGC